AAUUUCAUUUUGGACGAAAGUCGAGGGGUGAUGAAGCAUCCAUUGGCAAGAUGAAGCAUGAAAGGUUUCUUUCGUAUCUAGUUGAGUGCAGCAUGCAACUUCUUUUACUGGAAAUUUCAAGUGCAACCUCCUGGAUGGCUUCUUCUAAGUGCAGCUUCCAGGCCACUGUUAGUAGUGCUUGAAAGCUGCAUGAGCAGAUUAUACAUCACCAUGUUCGACACCUGUGCGUGCUCAUGGCUACGAAACUCGGGCUAUAUUUAUUACUAAGAUCUCUGACCAAAACUGCUUGCAGAAAGAUAUUUAAUUCCCC
rnacentral:lncRNA from 1 species